rnacentral:lncRNA from 1 species
GGCGACAAAAGCUGUAUUUUUCCAAUAUCCACGAGCGCCCCUUUAAUAACCCCCCCCCUCUCCGCGCGGCCGGCUCCCCGAUGGUCCCCAUGGCAACGCAGAUAACGAAGCAGCCAUUUUCCAUAUCUCUAUGAAAGUCUAUUAUAUUGCGGGAUUAGCUCAUCUCCUCGAGACCUCAAUUUCUGCUUUCUAUCCUUCUGAAGAUAUGUGACUAGAGCACAUCUACAGUCUUGUCCCUGAGGCUCCUUCUCUCCAUUGAUUUGAGUACCAAGGUCCAUCACUUUCUGGAGGGAAAUGCCAUCACCACCUUCUCCUCUGCUUUGGCUUGUCCAGGAAAUGAUGGUAAACUUGAUGAACAACUAUUUGGGAUAAAUUAGUUACUGGAUCACUCUGAAAAACCAGAGGUUGUCCAAAGGAUGAUGACCAAGAUGGAAUUUCCAAGGCAGAAGAGCCCUAAGGGAUAACCUAUUGGCAUUAAGUGAUUUACUUGCCAAGCUUUACCCAGCAAGGAAGUGUUUGAGAACACGUUUGAACCCAGGACCUCCUAUCUCCAGGUCUAACUUUUUAUCCACUGAGCCACCUAGCUGUUCCUGCUCACUACCUUUAAAUAUCUGAAGGGCUGCCAAAGGAAAGAAGCAGA